rnacentral:rRNA from 1 species
UACAGAGGUCCCAAGCGUUGUUCGGAUUCACUGGGCGUAAAGGGUGCGUAGGUGGCUUGGUAAGUUUGAUGUGAAAUCUCCGGGCUUAACUCGGAACGGCCAAGUGAAACUGUCAAGCUAGAGUGCAGAAGGGGCAAUCGGAAUUCUUGGUGUAGCGGUGAAAUGCGUAGAUAUCAAGAGGAACACCUGAGGUGAAGACGGGUUGCUGGGCUGACACUGACGCUGAGGCGCGAAAGCCAGGGGAGCAAACGGG